rnacentral:rRNA from 1 species
AACGAACGCUGGCGGCAGGCUUAACACAUGCAAGUCGAGCGGGCACUUCGGUGUCAGCGGCAGACGGGUGAGUAACGCGUGGGAACCUACCUAGUGGUACGGAACAACACAGGGAAACUUGUUCUAAUAACGUAUACGCCCCUCGGGGGAAAGAUUUAUCGCCACUUGAUGGGACCGCGUCGGAUUAGCUAGCUGGUAGGGUAACGGCCUACCAAGGCGACGAUCCGUAGCUGGGCUGAGAGGAUGAUCAGCAACAAUGGGACUGAGACACGGCCCAGACUCCUACGGGAGGCAGCAGUGGGGAAUAUUGGACAAUGGGCGAAAGCCUGAUCCAGCCAUGCCGCGUGUGGGAAGAAGGUCUUCGGAUUGUAAAGCACUUUAAGUUGGGAGGAAGGGCAGUAAGUUAAUACCUUGCUGUUUUGACGUUACCGACAGAAUAAGCACCGGCUAACUUCGUGCCAGCCGCCGCCGUAAAAC